AAUGCAAGAUGCCCAUUUAAAUUUGAAUUUCAGAUAACUAAAUUUUUUAGAAUAAUAUGUCCCAUGCAAUGUUUAGGACAUACUUAUACUAAAAAUUUGUUGUUUAUUUGAAAUUCAGUUUUAACUGGGCAUCUUUUAUUUU
rnacentral:miRNA from 1 species